rnacentral:rRNA from 1 species
AUUGAACGCUGGCGGCAGGCCUAACACAUGCAAGUCGAACGGUAACAGGAAGCAGCUUGCUGCUUUGCUGACGAGUGGCGGACGGGUGAGUAAUGUCUGUGAAACUGCCCGAUGGAGGGGGAUAACUACUGGAAACGGUAGCUAAUACCGCAUAACGUCGCAAGCCCAAAGAGGGGGACCUUAGGGCCUCUUGCCAUCGGCUGUGCCCAGAUGGGAUUAGCUAGUAGGUGGGGUAACGGCUCACCUAGGCGACGAUCCCUAGCUGGUCUGAGAGGAUGACCAGCCACACUGGAACUGAGACACGGUCCAGACUCCUACGGGAGGCAGCAGUGGGGAAUAUUGCACAAUGGGCGCAAGCCUGAUGCAGCCAUGCCGCGUGUAUGAAGAAGGCCUUCGGGUUGUAAAGUACUUUCAGCGGGGAGGAAGGGAGUAAAGUGAAUACCUUUGCUCAUUGACGUUACCCGCAGAAGAAGCACCGGCUAACUCCGUG